GUUCAUCAUUAUUAAGACAUGGUGUUAAAAAAACAAGAUAUGUGACACAAAGAACGAGAAACAUUUUAAUAGUUAUUAUUAAAAUGUAUUAUUAAAACCCGAUAAAACUGACAAAAGGUAGAAUGCUUUAUAUAUAAUUUGAUUUAUAACUAUACCUGACUAUAUCCAAACAGCUAGGUACAGUUAGGUCUGUCAGUUGUGUCAUUCGAUUAUCGAUAUUAUAUAUCUUACUCGUCUUAAAAAUUAGACCAAUCAUAAAUUGAAUAUUUUAAAAAUAUUUUUCUAAAACAGUUAAAGCUAAAUAUAUUUCAAGGUUAUCGUCAGAUGGAGUAUCUGCAUCAUCAUCUGCAUUGAUUCGUUUGAACAAGUCAGAAUUAUUUAAUCGUCAAUAGAUCGAAAUUUCGAAGGAAAAGUCACUCUAUUGAUACAACUUCUGCAAGUUCUAAUUUUGCUAUUAUUAA